AGCAGCACAACACUCUGUUCCAAUGAACACCGUGAACCAAUCUGAUCUCACUGGACAGCAGGAGACACAGCGACCAUUCAAACCUCCCGAUUUAACUCAGAAAAUACAGUCUGCCCUCCGCUUGUUCACCACCUAUGAAGACAGCGGAGAUGGAGAGAACAUCAAGUUCAUAGCAGCAGUUAUACAAAUACAGUAUUCCUGGAUCCCAUUCGUCUGUAUCAACAAGGCAGUACAUCACCACCAACUUUCAGCUGGGAUUAAAACCUGAUCCAUUCCAGGUAGCAGAGAAAACAGAGCUGUGUCCUCCUGACGUUUCCACAGUCACCAUCAGAAGACCUGAGAGGUACAUAGUAGAGUACAGAGUCAUGACUACUGGUGUUAGCAAGGUUAGCAAAUGGCCAUGGAAUGUAGUAGACACCCUGGCUCCUGCAGAAACCUGUCUGGUGCCAGGUCUGAAACCGUUCACACUGUACCACAUCAGGUACUCUGUUAUAGAACACUCUGGUAUGAGUGAUCAGCAAGGUCAUUGAGGUCAAGACCCGUGAGAUCCCACCUGAACAGCUGUAUGGGAGCCGGCUGCUGAACAAAACAAAGGAAACCGUCAAAGUGACUUGGUUCCAGCCAGAGUGUGAAGAUGGUGCCCUCUACUCCACUACAAAGUAGACUAUAAAGAGACAGGACGGGAGGGCUGGUCUACCAUGGUAAACAGAGGGACCUGAAUGUUACUGUGAUGUAACUCUGAACCUCAGUACCUGCUACAGAGUCAGAGUGUCAGCUGUCUAUGGAGAAGGAGACACCAGUGAAACCAGCAGAGAGACAGAUGUCCCAGUCAAUGGUGAGUUUCUACAUAACAUUAGGAAUGAUGAGGAAACUAAAGGUUACCCUGUCCUGACCUAGCUAAUUAUCAAAUUCAAUGUGAAGAUGUUUAACUGAAAGUCCUGACAUCUGCAAUUGUAAUCUUCUUAUUUCUACAUACAGUAUAUAGAGUAUGGCGUUAAUGACUCUAUGUAGCUACAGUUUAUUAUGUCUAUACAGUAAUUAGCGUUAAUGACUCUAUGUAGCUACAUGUUUAUUAUGUCUAUACAGAAUUAGCGUUAAUGACCUAUGUAGCUACAUGUUUAUUAUGGUCUAUACAGUAUAUUAGUUUAAUGACUCUAUAUAGCUACAUGUUUAUUAGUGUAAUGACCUAUGUAGCUACAGUUUAUAUGUGUCUAUACAGUAUAUUAGUGUUAAUGACUCUAUAUAGCUACAUGUAUUUAUGUGUCUAUACAGUAUUUAGUGUUAAUGACUCUAUAGAGCUACAUGUUUAUAUGUCAUACGUAUAUUAGUGUAAUGACUCUAUUAGCUACAUGUUUAUUAGUGUAAUAUGACUAUGUAGCUACAUGUUUAUUAGUGGUUAAUAUGACUAUGUAGCUACAUGUUUAUUAUGUCUAACAGUAUAUUAGUUAAUGACUCUAUGUAGCUACAUGUUUAUUAUGUGUCUAUACAGUAUAUUAGUGUUAAUGACUCUAUAUAGCUACAUGUUAUUAGGUCUAUACAGUAUAUUAGUGUUAAUAUGACUCUAUGUAGCUACAUGUUAUUA
rnacentral:lncRNA from 1 species